rnacentral:rRNA from 1 species
AUUGAACGCUGGCGGCAGGCUUAACACAUGCAAGUCGAGCGAGCGGCGGACGGGUGAGUAAUGUCUGGGAAACUGCCUGAUGGAGGGGGAUAACUACUGGAAACGGUAGCUAAUACCGCAUACCAUCAGAUGUGCCCAGAUGGGGUUAGCUAGUAGGUGGGGUAAUGGUUCACCUAGGCGACGAUCCCUAGCUGGUCUGAGAGGAUGACCGGUCACACGGGAACUGGGACACGGGCCAGACCCCAAAGGGAGGCAGCAGUGGGGAAUAUUGCACAAUGGCGGAAAGCCUAAUGCAGCAAGGCCGGGUGUGGGAAGAAGGCCUUCGGGUUGUAAAGCAUUUUCAGCGAGGAGGCGUUACUCGCAGAAGAAGCACCGGUUAACUCCGUGCCAGCAGCCGCGUAAUAC